rnacentral:rRNA from 1 species
UACGUAGGGUGCGAGCGUUGUCCGGAAUUAUUGGGCGUAAAGAGCUCGUAGGCGGUCUGUCGCGUCUGCUGUGAAAUCCCGAGGCUCAACCUCGGGCUUGCAGUGGGUACGGGCAGGCUAGAGUGCGGUAGGGGAGAAUGGAACUCCUGGUGUAGCGGUGGAAUGCGCAGAUAUCAGGAGGAACACCAAUAGCGAAGGCAGCUCGCUGGGACGUUACUGACGCUGAGGAGCGAAAGCGUGGGGAGCGAACAGG